GGACAGCGACGGGGAUCGGCCCUCUGCAAAGAGGCCGAGGGAGAGCUGUGAGGAGAGCCCUGGAGAGGAGCAGUCCUUUCCAGACUCGACUCCCUCAACCUCUGGCUUGAAGAGCAGGUGUGACGUCAUUGACCUCACUGUGAAGAGAACGAGGUGGGACGAUGGCAGCAACUCUGACUAAACUUGUCAACUCCUUCAUGCUGCAGGAUCUGACAACUUUAGAUCGGACAACUUUAGUUGCAUAAACCAUCAGUCAUGAACUUCAGCAACAGGAAGGGGCUGAAUGUUGCUUCUCCAGAUGGGACUGUUUUCCAUCUGGAGAUAAUUAUUUCUUCAUUUGUAUACAUGUAUAUUUCUAUGUUUAACCUUUUGAGUCUUACAGGACUGGUGACGCCUCAAGUAGGUCUUGCAGCAGGGCUUUCCUUCAUCUGGUCCCUGGAUCAACUUUUGAAAACUUGCAUCUGUAAGGGUUGUCAGAGCCUGAGCCUUGCACCAGGCCUGUUGAUGUUAUAAUGUCAAAUCUACUGAUGACGUGAGUGCAGUAGGAAGAGGACCCAAUGCUACGCUGAGGAGGCAUGACCUGAUGAUCUAGACCUGAUUCCUCCUCAACCCAGACAUGAACAGAGGACCAGCUUUACCACCUGAGUUACUGCUGGACACAAAAUGUGCAAAAAGGCCAGUAAAAGACUCUUUGUUGAGCCUCUUUGCUGGAAGAAGAGAGAAGUCCAGACCCAAAGAGGGACAGAGACACCGUGUGAAGUCAUGAUUCUGAGUGGACGUCCACAGAGCUUGAGUUGGUGACCCAUGUGAUCCAGUCCAGAGGACCAGAAAUGGUUCCACCGACGUGUGAAUCCUGGUUCCAGUCUGUCUCCUUUACAUCUGUCCACAUGACAGAAGGUGGAACCAGGAUUCACACGAUGUGCGAAAAAGGUGAUCAUGACUGAGAUGACACACAGCCGUCGGCCUGAAGGACAAGCAAGGUGGACCACAGAGACCCAACUUCCUGUUGUACAUCCAAGGUUUCCAUGGCGAUGAAGAGCUCCCAGCCAGAUGACAGCAGCUGUUAAGACAAAGAGCAUGAAGUAAGUCCAAAGUCACCAUGAGCUAAAGAUAACACCAUCAAGUCUAUUUAAAUGAUUUUAUGACAUUGUAGAAAAUAUUCA